AUGCUCACUUUGGCAGCUAAUAUACUAAAAUUGAAAUGAUAUGGAGAAGAUUAGCAUGACCCAUGUGCAAGGAUGACUUUCAAAUUCAUGAAGUGUUCCACAUUUUU
ensembl:snRNA U6 U6 spliceosomal RNA